GAUGAAGAACGUAGCGAAAUGCGAUAAGUAAUGUGAAUUGCAGAAUUCAGUGAAUCAUCGAAUCUUUGAACGCACCUUGCGCUCCUUGGUAUUCCGAGGAGCAUGCCUGUUUGAGUGUCAUGAAAUUCUCAACCUUUUCAGCUUUCUUUGUUGAUCAGGCUUGGAUGUGGGAGUAUGCGGGCUUCUCAGAAGUCGGCUCUCCUGAAAUGCAUUAGCGGGACCUUUGUUGCCUGGCUUUGGUGUGAUAAUUAUCUACGCCAUUGUAGUCAAGCAGCUUAAAAUGAGGUUUCAGCUUCUAACCGUCUCCCCUGAGACAACGUUUUGACGAUUUGACCUCAAAUCAGGUAGGACUACCCGCUGAACUUAAGCAUAUCAUAAGCGGAGGA
rnacentral:misc_RNA from 1 species